UCUUCCAAUCCACAUCGCAAUCUCUGACUCUUCCCUUCCUCUUCCACUUACCGGCAGCGAACGGAGACGGCGCACGGCGACCCGUUCUAUGGCGGCUCGUGCACAACCACGAGAUGGGAAUGGCCGCUGGUGCUCCAGCGGCGCUGUGAAGAAGAUUGGGAAGAAGCACUCUGCUUCGUCGACGGCGGGCCGGUGACUCCGCCGCGCUUCCCCCUCAUGGGGCGGCGGCUCCAACGGCGAGGUGAAGGCGAGCGGGCACGCGCGCUCGGUUCCAGCCAUGGAGGGCCAUGGAUUUCGGCGCGCUUCCCCCUCCUAGAGCGACGGCUCUAAUGGCGAGGUGAAGCCGGCCAUGGCGGCUCCAACUGGCGGCCCGAGCUCCCAUAGCAGAGGGCGCCCCUAGGUCCUCAUCGACUUGACCUCAAACUCCGAGGAUGAAAAGGGAAAGAGGAAGAAGCCGGAGAGCUCCAAUCAGAUGCACACUUCGCAGGGAAGGGGAAGAAGCAGGCAUUUCGUUUGAACAGAGUUCAGACAGAGGUUCAGUUGUUCCAGUCUCACUCAUCGGGAUUGUUCUUCUCUGGUCAUGCUAGUAUAUGUCAAACAAUCGUGUUAGUAUAUGUCACAUGAAAGAUGUUCUUGCUAAGGAUUAUGACCUCAAUUAAUGGGCGAUCUGGAAAUUUCUCGAUUAUAUCUGUAGGACCAAGAGUAGUCCCAUUCAUUUGUUCUGCAUGUGUACAAAAGCAAUGUAACUGCUAUAGUUUGUUCACUAGCUCAUUGUUUGACAGAAAAUCAAUUCCUGUGAGGAGCUCAUUGUUUGACAUGUAA